rnacentral:rRNA from 1 species
GACGAACGCUGGCGGCGUGCCUCAUACAUGCAAGUCGAACGCAGUGGGGACGGGUGAGUAACACGUGGGUAACCUCCCAUCAGAGGGGAUAACACUUGGAAACAGGUGCUAAACAGAUACUGCUGGAUGGCCCCGCGGUGCAUUAGCUAGUUGGUGAGGUAACGGCUCACCAAGGCCACGAUGCAUAGACGACCGGAGAGGGGGAUCGGCAAGACGUGUACUGAGACACGGACCAGACGCCUCCGUGAGGGUGCAGUAGGGAAUCUUCGGCAAUUGACGAAGGUCUGACCGAGCAAAGACGCGUGAGUGAAGAAGGUUUGCGGAGCGUAAAACUCUGUUGUGAGAGAAGCGGUAUCUAACCAGAAAGCCACGGCUAACUACGUGCCAGCAGCCGCGGUAAUUC